GACAGAGGGUGCAAACGUUGCUCGGAAUUACUGGGCGUAAAGCGCGUGUAGGUGGUCACCCCAGUCGGAUGUGAAAGCCCAGGGCUCAACCCUGGACGUGCAUACGAUACUAGGUGGCUGGAGUCUCGGAGAGGAUAGCGGAAUUCCCGGUGUAGAGGUGAAAUUCGUAGAUAUUCGCAGGAACACCAGUGGCGAAGGCGGCUUACUGGUCCAUUACUGACGCUGAGGUGCGAAAGCGUGGGGAGCAAACAGG
rnacentral:rRNA from 1 species